rnacentral:miRNA from 1 species
AUAGAAAUCAUCUAAGGAUUUUGUUAAAAAUGCAAAUUCUGACUCAGUCAGAAUAGAUUUGGUAUGGGGAAUAGGAUUCUGUAGUUCUAACAAACUCCCAGGUGACACUGAU